GGGCUGUUCCAUAAAAGCAGCUUAGAAAAGCGGGGAUUAAAGUCCAAAACCUGACUUGAAUGAGCCGAGCUAAACAUCCGCGCUUAAAUUGGUUCCAUAACAGUAAGUUGAGGAUCAUGUGAUUUUACUAAUUUGAGUCAGGUUUAAAUAGUCUAGAUAAUUGCGCGUGCACGCCAUUGUUUAAAAGUCCUGAAAAGUCGAGCAUGGGUCAAUCGAUUUACUGUGGGCUACCAUGGCAACAAAAGGAAAAGAUAGAGCAGCGAUGUUCACGGCAACGGAACAGCGUUUGCUAUUGGAAUCAUAUGAAGAAUUUAAAGAUGUCAUCACCAAAAAAGGCAAUACAGCGGCAAUAAUAAAGCAAGAGAGAAAGGUUGGCAGGAAAUUGCUGAUCGUCUCAAUGCCAGCAACUUAAGUGAAGGAAAAAGAACCUGGCAGCAGGUGAAAAUAAAAUAUAAAAAUAUAGUUCAGAAUGCGACCAAAAAGAAGACUGAGGUUGCUGGCACUGGGGGAGGGCCACCACCAGCCAGCUUCAC